rnacentral:rRNA from 1 species
AAAUGAACAAGGUCUCCGUUGGUGAACCAGCGGAGGGAUCAUUACAGAGUUACUACUCCAAACCCAUUGUGAACCUUACCUAUGUUCUGUUGCCUCGGCGGCGUGGUCAGCGCCCCCUCUGAAAAGAGGACGAUGCCCUCCCGCCGGCAGCACCAAACUCUUUGAAUUUUACAGCGGAUUACAGUUCUGAUUUGAAAACAAAAAACAAGUUAAAACUUUCAACAACGGAUCUCUUGGUUCUGGCAUCGAUGAAGAACGCAGCGAAAUGCGAUAAGUAAUGUGAAUUGCAGAAUUCAGUGAAUCAUCGAAUCUUUGAACGCACAUUGCGCCCGGCAGUAAUCUGCCGGGCAUGCCUGUCCGAGCGUCAUUUCAACCCUCGAACCUCCGUUUCCUCAGGGAAGCUCAGGGUCGGUGUUGGGGCGCUACGGCGAGUCUUCGCGACCCUCCGUAGGCCCUGAAAUACAGUGGCGGUCCCGCCGCGGUUGCCUUCUGCGUAGUAAGUCUCUUUUGCAAGCUCGCAUUGGGUCCCGGCGGAGGCCUGCCGUCAAACCACCUAUAACUCCAGAUGGUUUGACCUCGGAUCAGGUAGGGUUACCCGCUGAACUUAAGCA